rnacentral:rRNA from 1 species
AGAACGAACGCUGGCGGCAGGCUUAACACAUGCAAGUCGAACGCCCCGCAAGGGGAGUGGCAGACGGGUGAGUAACGCGUGGGAAUCUACCCAAUUCUACGGAACAACAGUUGGAAACGACUGCUAAUACCGUAUACGCCCUACGGGGGAAAGAUUUAUCGGAAUUGGAUGAGCCCGCGUUGGAUUAGCUAGUUGGUGGGGUAAAGGCCUACCAAGGCGACGAUCCAUAGCUGGUCUGAGAGGAUGAUCAGCCACAUUGGGACUGAGACACGGCCCAAACUCCUACGGGAGCAG